GGAUUAGAUACCCUGGUAGUCCACGCCCUAAACGAUGAGAACUAGCCGUUGGGAGCAUCUAAGCUCUUAGUGGCGCAGCUAACGCGUUAAGUUCUCCGCCUGGGGAGUACGGCCGCAAGGUUAAAACUCAAAGGAAUUGACGGGGGCCCGCACAAGCGGUGGAGCAUGUGGUUUAAUUCGAUGCAACGCGAAGAACCUUACCUGCCCUUGACAUUGACAGAACCCUGAAGAGAUUCGGGGGUGCCUUCGGGCCUGGAAAACAGGUGCUGCAUGGCUGUCGUCAGCUCGUGCCG
rnacentral:rRNA from 1 species